CCCUUAGAUGUUCUGGGCCGCACGCGUGCUACACUGAGUGGAUCAGCGGGUCAGGUUGCGCGAAAGUGUUUCCUAAUCUUGAAAUCCGCUCGUGAUGGGGAUUGACGGUUGCAAUUUUCCGUCAUGAACGAGGAAUACCUUGUAAGCGCGGGUCAUCAUCCCGCGCUGAAUACGUCCCUGCCCUUUGUACACACCGCCCGUCGCUCCCACCGAUUGAGUGGUCCGGUGAGGCUUUGGGAUCUGAGCAAAGAGAGCGUUUCGCUCGUUUUGCCCGGAAAACUCAGUCGAACCUUAUCAUUUAGAGGAAGGAGAAGUCGUAACA
rnacentral:rRNA from 1 species